rnacentral:rRNA from 1 species
UACAGAGGUCUCAAGCGUUGUUCGGAUUCACUGGGCGUAAAGGGCGCGUAGGCGGCUCAGUAAGGUUGCGGUGAAAGCCCGGGGCUCAACCCCGGGUCGGCCGUGGCAACUGCUGGGCUGGAGCACUGUAGAGGCAGGUGGAAUUCCGGGUGUAGCGGUGGAAUGCGUAGAGAUCCGGAAGAACACCGGUGGCGAAGGCGGCCUGCUGGGCAGUAGCUGACGCUGAGGCGCGACAGCGUGGGGAGCAAACAGG